AUGGGGUCAGUGACCGUCGCUCUUGCUGGUCGUGAACAAACACAGAAACAAAUUCGCGGGACGACAAACAUUGUUUCCUUUCCUUGGGGGCUCACGCUUCCGCUACACAUGCGAUGCAUGUCGGGGGGACGUCCGCGAUUCUUACUGUGACUAAAAAAGCGUGACUAAAGCAGUCAAUCGCCUGAAUUAGAAAGCAUGGGAUAACAAAGGAGCAGCCUAUGGGCUACCGGUUCGGCUUUUGUUGGUUUUAAGGUCCGUGGGAGAUUAUGGGUCCGCACGACAAGCGGUUCGGGGGUGCCUCGUGUCAUUCCCCACGCCUCCAUCAGUUCAAGCGGCGCACUCGUUGCGAGCGCAGGGCUGUGGCUGCGGUGCCCAGGAAUGAAGGAGGGUUGUUCGGGGGAGAACGUACUUGGGCGUGGAGGUGAAAUUCUUAGACCGCCCAAAGACGAACUACAGCGAAGGCAUUCUCCAAGGUACCUUCCUCAAUCAAGAACCAAAGUGUGGAGAUCGAAGAUGAUUAGAUACCAUUGUGUCC
rnacentral:rRNA from 1 species